rnacentral:rRNA from 1 species
AUUGAACGCUGGCGGCAGGCCUAACACAUGCAAGUCGAACGGUAGCACAAAGGAGCUUGCUCCUUGGGUGACGAGUGGCGGACGGGUGAGUAAUGUCUGGGAAACUGCCCGAUGGAGGGGGAUAACUACUGGAAACGGUAGCUAAUACCGCAUAACGUCGCAAGACCAAAGAGGGGGACCUUCGGGCCUCUUGCCAUCGGAUGUGCCCAGAUGGGAUUAGCCAGUAGGUGGGGUAACGGCUCACCUAGGCGACGAUCCCUAGCUGGUCUGAGAGGAUGACCAGCCACACUGGAACUGAGACACGGUCCAGACUCCUACGGGAGGCAGCAGUGGGGAAUAUUGCACAAUGGGCGCAAGCCUGAUGCAGCCAUGCCGCGCGUAUGAAGAAGGCCUUCGGGUUGUAAAGUACUUUCAGCGAGGAGGAAGGCGUUGUGGUUAAUAACCGCAACGAUUGACGUUACUCGCAGAAGAAGCACCGGCUAACUCCGUGCCAGCAGCCGCGUAAGAC